rnacentral:rRNA from 1 species
UGUGUGGCGGGCGGUUCUAGAGUUUUAGUUUCUGGCUCAGGACGAACGCUGGCGGCGUGCCUAAUACAUGCAAGUCGAGCGGACAGAUGGGAGCUUGCUCCCUGAUGUUAGCGGCGGACGGGUGAGUAACACGUGGGUAACCUGCCUGUAAGACUGGGAUAACUCCGGGAAACCGGGGCUAAUACCGGAUGCUUGUUUGAACCGCAUGGUUCAAACAUAAAAGGUGGCUUCGGCUACCACUUACAGAUGGACCCGCGGCGCAUUAGCUAGUUGGUGAGGUAAUGGCUCACCAAGGCGACGAUGCGUAGCCGACCUGAGAGGGUGAUCGGCCACACUGGGACUGAGACACGGCCCAGACUCCUACGGGAGGCAGCAGUAGGGAAUCUUCCGCAAUGGACGAAAGUCUGACGGAGCAACGCCGCGUGAGUGAUGAAGGUUUUCGGAUCGUAAAGCUCUGUUGUUAGGGAAGAACAAGUACCGUUCGAAUAGGGCGGUACCUUGACGGUACCUAACCAGAAAGCCACGGCUAACUACGUGCCAGCAGCCGCGGUAAUACGUAGGUGGCAAGCGUUGUCCGGAAUUAUUGGGCGUAAAGGGCUCGCAGGCGGUUUCUUAAGUCUGAUGUGAAAGCCCCCGGCUCAACCGGGGAGGGUCAUUGGAAACUGGGGAACUUGAGUGCAGAAGAGGAGAGUGGAAUUCCACGUGUAGCGGUGAAAUGCGUAGAGAUGUGGAGGAACACCAGUGGCGAAGGCGACUCUCUGGUCUGUAACUGACGCUGAGGAGCGAAAGCGUGGGGAGCGAACAGGAUUAGAUACCCUGGUAGUCCACGCCGUAAACGAUGAGUGCUAAGUGUUAGGGGGUUUCCGCCCCUUAGUGCUGCAGCUAACGCAUAAGCACUCC